rnacentral:misc_RNA from 1 species
GAGCAAUGUUGGUCCCUACAACCGGACAAGAGACCCGAUUUCUGGCAGAUUGUGAAGGUACUAGAGCAAUUCAAAUCUUCGCUUGCCCGUGAUGGGACACUGAAUUUAUUAGGUAACCCUCUGUCUAGUUUCCAAGACCAUAAGAAAGGGCUUCUCCAUUGGAUUCAAAAGCUUGGCCCCCUGCAUCCUGAAACCUCGCCCCAGGGGGGACAUCCUUGAAGCAACUCCCGUGGAGCA